rnacentral:rRNA from 1 species
GUGCCAGCAGCCGCGGUAAUUCCAGCUCCAAUAGCGUAUAUUAAAGUUGUUGUGGUUAAAAAGCUCGUAGUUGAACCUUGGGCCUGGCUGGCCGGUCCGCCUCACCGCGUGCACUGGUCCGGCCGGGCCUUUCCCUCUGUGGAACCCCAUACCCUUCACUGGGCGUGGCGGGGAAACAGGACAUUUACUUUGAAAAAAUUAGAGUGCUCCAGGCAGGCCUAUGCUCGAAUACAUUAGCAUGGAAUAAUAAAAUAGGACGCGCGGUUCUAUUUUGUUGGUUUAUAGGACCGCCGUAAUGAUUAAUAGGGACAGUCGGGGGCAUCAGUAUUCAACUGUCAGAGGUGAAAUUCUUGGAUCAGUUGAAGACUAACUACUGCGAAAGCAUUUGCCAAGGAUGUUUUCAUUAAUCAGGAACGAAAGUUAGGGGAUCGAAGACGAUCAGAUACCGUCGUAGUCUUAACCAUAAACUAUGCCGACUAGGGAUCGGACGGUGUUAUUCAUGACCCGUUCGGCACCUUACGAGAAAUCAAAGUGCUUGGGCUCCAGGGGGAGUAUGGUCGCAAGGCUGAAACUUAAAGAAAUUGACGGAAGGGCACCACCAGGGGUGGAGCCUGCGGCUUAAUUUGACUCAACACGGGGAAACUCACCAGGUCCAGACACAAUAAGGAUUGACAGAUUGAGAGCUCUUUCUUGAUUUUGUGGGUGGUGGUGCAUGGCCGUUCUUAGUUGGUGGGGUGACUUGUCUGCUUAAUUGCGAUAACGAACGAGACCUUAACCUGCUAAAUAGCCCGCAUUGCUCCGGCAGUGCGCUGGCUUCUUAGAGGGACUUU